rnacentral:rRNA from 2 species
ACUUGUCUUCAAGCGGGAGUGGCGAACGGGUGAGUAAUACAUAAGCAAUCUGCCCAUCGGCUUGGGAUAACAGUUGGAAACGACUGCUAAUACCGGAUAGGUGAUAGGGAGGCAUCUCUCGAUCAUUAAAGUUGGGAUACAACACGGAUGGAUGAGCUUAUGGCGUAUUAGCUAGUAGGUGAGGUAACGGCUCACCUAGGCGAUGAUACGUAGCCGACCUGAGAGGGUGACCGGCCACAUUGGGACUGAGACACGGCCCAAACUCC